ensembl:misc_RNA Metazoa_SRP Metazoan signal recognition particle RNA
GCCAGGCAUGGUGGUGCAUGCCUGUAGUCCCAGCUACUCGGGAGGCUGAGGCAGGAGAAUCGCUUGAACCCAGGAGGCAGAGGUUGCAGUGAGCCGAGAUCGCGCCAUUGUACUCCAGCCUGGGUGACAGAGCGAGACUCCGUCUCAA